GUCCCCAUAGCUCAAUGGAUCGAGUAGCUCUCUUCUAAGGAGUUGAUGGAGGUCCGAUUCCUCCUGGGGACA
rnacentral:tRNA from 1 species